GAUGAACGCUAGCUACAGGCUUAACACAUGCAAGUCGAGCGACCGGCGCACGAGGGAGUAAAACGUAUCCAGCCUGCGGUUUACUCGGCGGGAGCCUUUCGCAAGAAAGAUUAACACCCGAUAUAAUGGAUGGGGAUGCGUUCCCUUAGGUGGGUGGUGAGGUAACGGCUAACCAAGCAUUCGAUGGAGAGGGGUUCUGAAAGGAAGGUCCCCCACAUUGGAACCGAGACACGGUCCAAACUCCUACGGGAGGCAGGAGUGAGGAAUAUUAGUGAAUGGGCGCUAUCCUGAACCAGCCAAGUGGCGUGAAGGAUGAAGGCUUAUGGGUCGUAAACUUCUUUUAUAUAAGAAUAUGUAUUAUAUGAAUAAGGAUCGGCUAACUCCGUGCCAGCAGCCGCGGUAAUAC
rnacentral:rRNA from 1 species